AGUGCUCAGUCCUUUAAAGAACCCAAAGGCAGAGAAAACAAGGCAUCUUCUUUGGAUGAAGUCUUGGUCUUAAAGAAGAGAUGAGAUGAAUAUUUGGAUAACGCUACAAAAUGAUGCAAGUACCAGCAUCCAAGAAUGCACUGCUGACCACAUGCACUGUAGAAGGUUGGGGAGAGUGUGCUGGAAAUAGUCUAGGAGGGCUCCACAGAGGAAGAGUAUAUUCAGAAAUGAACAUGAGUAGGAAUCAACUCAGUAUAUGCAGAUAAAGAUUUGACUGAGGGACAGAGAAGCUUGAUGUCUUAUUGUUAUUAAGGACAGAUGAGGAUCUGACUUCUUUGGCUGGCAACUGAAAAGAACCAAGCUUUAUGGUAGCUUGAUUGUUUUAAUCAUUGAGAGAGUGACCAGGAUAAAGGGGAGACUGAAAUCCAUGCCUUAAAUCGGGCUAUUUGAAGGAACUGGGCAUAGUUGGCCUGAAGACUAGAAGAUUUGGAGUCGGGGGACUGAACUGCUAUCUUCAAAGGUUUAAAGUUCUGUCAUGUAGAAGAGAGAUUAUACUUAUUUUGCCUGGAUCCAGAGAACCCACCAAACUAAAAUCUCCUCUUGAAAAAAAAAAAAAAAAAAAAAAAAAAAAAGAUUGUAGUUCGCCAUCUUGUGGUCAAAGAGAACACUUUUGUCGCUUUAUAUUUUGGAGAAUUUUAAUGGGAACAAAUGGAAGUGUCUUAUCUACCUAAAAUUCUAAUGUUACACCACUUUCCUGCCUCAGGCAGGUUGGGUGCUUCCCUAAAGGACAGUCCUAGGCAGCAUCUAUAAAGGAAGACAUGACUCUUGAUUACCUGAGAAAUUUCUAAAGCUGAGAUGCUGAAUACCUCUGAAGUUAGACUUUGGAGACAUUGGAAAGAACAAGGUGUCACUCAAGAAAGAGGGGCUAGAUAGAGAAGGCACAAACUUUUGAAUGGAUGAUGGGGAUGUUCCUGGAACUAAAGACAUGUGGGGGGGAAAGGGGCUUCCAAUAUGUCCUUGGUUCCCAUUUCCUGCAUACCAAGAUACUAUGAAGAGUUGAUUUUUCUCAGUGAAAUGAUUCUCUUCUUGGUUCAGCUAAAAUUUUAUGUCACUCCCAAGUCAAAGGACCUAUUUACUCUUGUGUGAUGUGUCAUGUACAUUAAUUUGUAUAACCUCUCCAAUUUUUGUCUCACUGUUUGCUCUGAUAAAUAUAAUUGUUUUAAAUUGCUUGUCAAGAUGAGUGAGUGAGUGAGUGUCUAGGCUGCCCAGCUACUCUAUGUUAUUCCAGCAAAGUCCUGUUCACACUAAACCGAAUGUCAUCUUUUUCACUCCUAAGCUGCAAAAAAACAUCAGACAAAAGCCCUCAGCCACUAGAAAAGGGGGACCCUAGAGUAUACAGAGACUAUAGCUUUCAAUGUACUGUAUCAAGAGGCAGCAAGAGCAGAAGCUCCCCUGAGAAAGUUCCAAGGUAGUCAGAAAACCUCAGAGUUGGGACAGAGGUCCUGGGUUCAGAUCUGGCCUCAGAUACUUCCUAGCUGUGUGACACUGGGCAAGUCACUUAAAUUUAAUUGCUUACUGUGUUAUCCAUAUUGCUAAGAGGGGCUCAAGCUGCAGCACAGAAUUCCAUAGUGCCCCCCCAGAACUCUGAGAGGGGGCAGUUAAAGGCAGUUGGAGACCUGCUAUAAAAAGGCAGGUCACACAGUUUGCAGUUUGGGUUUUGGGUCUUGGGUCUUGGGUCUUGGGUCCUUGGUCCUGAUCCUGAUCUGGGUGCUAUCUCUGUAAUCUGUGCGGCUCUGAGCUGAGCCAUUUAGUCUCUGGCGGUCAAAGCUGUUUUACUUUUGUUAGACCUUUCAAACAAUACCACAGUCUACCUUAGUUUAGCUAUCUAGGUUUAGAAGAAGAAUAUUUAGAGGCUUAAAGAGGAGAUCAAGAUACAUUCCCCCUUUAGGGGGAGGGGCUGCUUAUUUGACAUAACUGUAUUAGGUAGCUUUCUCCUUACCUAUCAAUCCUAAGCCAUUUUCC